CAUAAACAUGAGAAACAUCAUUGGGGAAUUUCAUGGCAUCAUAAACAUUAAAUUUGAUAACUUCCCCUUCAAACUCCAUAGUCAAUGUGCCAUCAUGCACAUCAAUUUUUGUUCUUGCUGUGCUCAAGAAUGGUCUCCCAAGUAAGAUAUCAGAGGUGGUGUUGCUCUUGUCUUUCUCCAUGUCAAUCACAUAAAAAUAAGCUGGGAAGACUAGUUAGUCCACUUGCACCAACACAUCUUCAAGCACUCCUUUGGGGUAGACAAUGGAUCGAUCAGCCAAUUGGAUCAUAAUGCUGGUGCCCUUGAGUGUACCUGCAUUCAACAAGUUAAAAAUAGAAAGAGGCAUGACAUUUAUUGAAGCUCCAAGGUCACACAUGACCUUCUUUAUUCCUAUGUUGCCUAUUUUGCAUGGAAUGGCAAACAUUCCUCUAUCUUUGCAUUUGGUGGGAAGUUUCUUUUGAAUGACAGCUGAGACACACUCCCCCACACUUACCUUUUUAUGUUCAGCAAGUUUCCUCCUAUUGGUGCAUAGCUCUUUGAGAAAUUUAGCAUACCUUGGUAUUUGUUUGAUAGCAUCAAGUAGGGGUAUGUUGAUUUCCACUUUGCGAAAUGUCUCCAAUAUCUCUUUUUCCUCUUUCUCCUUUUGGGACUUUGCAAAUCUCUUUGGGAAAGGAGGAGGUAUCUUGAAUUUUUCUGCUGGUUGCUGUUUCUGCCUUUGACUGGAUUCUGCCUUCUCUGGUGAUUUGGGCAAAUCACUUUCUGCCUUCUCUGGUGGUUUGGGCAGAUCACUA
rnacentral:lncRNA from 1 species